GAUGAAGAACGCAGUGAAAUGCGAUAAGUAGUGUGAAUUGCAGAAUUCAGUGAAUCAUCGAAUCUUUGAACGCACAUUGCGCCCCUUGGUAUUCCAUGGGGCAUGCCUGUUCGAGCGUCAUUUGUACCUUCAAGCUUUGCUUGGUGUUGGGUGUCUGUCCCUCGGGACUCGCCUUAAAGUCAUUGGCAGCCAGUGUUUUGGUUUUGAAGCGCAGCACAAGUCGCGAUUCAAGGCUAUCCGCCCGCUUCCACAAGCCUUUUUCACUUUUGACCUCGGAUCAGGUAGGGAUACCAGCUGAACUUAAGCAUAUCAAUAAGCGGAGGA
rnacentral:misc_RNA from 1 species